GCUUGACCUGUUCGGUAUGUGGUGCAGGGCCCUGGCAGCUGUGCCAGUAUUCUUCCUCACAACUUCAGCCCUCAGUUUGAAGUGUUACAACGGCACAGGAUUAACGGAAUGCCGGCAAUACAGCUGCUGGUCGAAUAGUGGUCCUGUAAGUCAGUAUGGAUGCGGGCCAUGUCCGGAUAUUGGAACUCAAGGUACUGUGUCCUGUACUGUCUGCACCACUGACAAGUGUAACAUGCCAGAGUCAGUUGACGUGGUGGUUGCAGAACUAUCAACGACAUGGAGAUGGCUUGUUCUUCUCCUCUUCUUCUUUUUGGCAUUAGUCCUAGGUAUUGUGGUUCUUGUUCACUUCAGGAGGAACGGCUGCAAGUGGGGAUCCUCCAACGAUACUACUAACGUAACUGAGCUGGGAGCAGACCGGCACAAAAACCGCAGAUCAUCCCUGGACAACGACGACAGGGACAUUAACCAGUGGAAGGACCUUGAAGUCGACGUGUCGUAGUUAGCGACAAAUUAACUAAGUUUAAAGUUAUCAAGCCGAGAAGAAACACGUCAAGACGAUGAAAGAUGGGAACGGUAAUUGGUAAUGUCAUCUCAGAUUUGAGACAUAUCGAAUACAGAUUCCAGAUGAGUCUGUAAACAUGGGAUUAAAGCUGAUCAGUGACAAAAUUUAACUAAUUAGUUUGUUUCAAUUAAUUGACAUAAUAUCUUGAAUAGAAUUAGAACUGUUUACAGUUUUGAUUCUGUCUGGUUUUUAAUGUCAUGUUUUUCGGCAACAAUUCAGAUAGUGCUACUGCUAUUAAAAAUAAAACAUACUUGGUUUAAGUGCUUAUCUUUUAUUGACAUUAAUUUGGUCGACUAAAAUAGCCUAGUAGUCAACUUUCGAUAGGAAAGAAUGGCGAACACUAUCGGUCUUUCUGGCACCCAAAAUAUUUUUGGUCAACUUGUAGAUCUUUAGAUGAUUCAUGUUAACAUUUAGUUCUCCGAUCACAAGCAUAAAUUGGACAAUUUUAUCAUUAGAAGACCAAAAUGCUGUCUCCAUAUUUUAGUUAAAUUGCUUUUCAUUGGUAAUUACAUACAGAAAGCAAUUUCUUAACUUGUAUUGCGUAAAGCAAGCAGCCAGAGACAAGGCUUGUACAAAUCCUUCGGCUUACGGACUGGGAAUAUUCUUACGGACUGCGACUUCUCUAAAUGACAAAAUCGUGGGAAAAUGUUUGAAUGUGGUCCGGACUCUAGUCUAGGGCGUGACACUCUGAAACAAUAGGGAUAACCC